AUAGAAUCAAUAGGAGCUUCUCCUUAGGGAGCUGCUUUGAAACAGCUCUGGUUUGAAAAGGAAACUACCCUUUCCAGCCUAGGAAAUGGCUUUUCUUGUUCGCUGUUAUGCCAAUUGUCUUCAGCCAUGGGCCUCCAAACUUCCAGCUGAUCUUACCAAGAUGCAUCUCACAGAAAACCCUCAUCCACAGGUGACUCAUGUGUCUUCUAGUCAGUCUGGUUGUAGCAUUGCCAGUGACUCUGGAAGCAGCAGUUUAUCUGAUAUCUAUCAGAUGAAUCAAGCUACGGAGAGUGAGGUAGGAGAUGUAGAUUUGACACGUCUUCCAGAAGGACCUGUUGAUUCUGAGGAUGACGAAGAGGAAGAUGAAGAGAUUGAUCGAACAGAUCCAUUGCAGGGGCGAGAUCUUGUUCGAGAAUGUCUUGAAAAAGAGCCUGCAGACAAAACUGACGAUGACAUUGAACAAUUGCUGGAGUUUAUGCACCAGCUCCCUGCUUUUGCAAACAUGACCAUGUCUGUAAGGAGAGAACUCUGCUCAGUGAUGAUUUUUGAAGUGGUAGAGCAGGCUGGAGCUAUUAUUCUUGAAGAUGGGCAAGAGCUUGACUCAUGGUAUGUUAUUUUAAACGGCACUGUGGAAAUCAGUCAUCCAGAUGGAAAAGUUGAAAAUUUGUUUAUGGGAAAUAGUUUCGGAAUUACUCCCACUCUGGAUAAGCAGUACAUGCGUGGAAUUGUCAGGACUAAAGUAGAUGAUUGUCAGUUUGUCUGCAUAGCCCAGCAGGAUUAUUGGAGAAUUUUAAACCAUGUGGAAAAAAAUACCCAUAAAGUUGAGGAAGAGGGAGAAAUUGUUAUGGUACAUGAGCAUCGGGAACUAGACCGGAGUGGAACCAGGAAAGGACACAUUGUAAUCAAGGACAUUUCUUGAAAGUCCUUUGGAUGUUGGGAUCAAACUAUUGGAAUGGUUUAAGAUCGACAGCUUAAGAGAUAAGGUGACACGGAUUGUAUUAUUAUGGGUAAAUAAUCAUUUUAAUGAUUUUGAAGGUGAUCCUGCUAUGACUCGAUUUCUAGAGGAAUUUGAAAAAAAUCUGGAAGAUACAAAGAUGAAUGGUCAUCUCCGGUUAUUGAAUAUUGCCUGUGCUGCAAAGGCUAAGUGGAGACAGGUUGUGCUGCAAAAGGCUUCCCGCGAGUCCCCUCUACAAUUCAGCCUUAAUGGAGGGAGUGAGAAGGGAUUUGGUAUUUUUGUUGAAGGAGUAGAACCUGGUAGCAAAGCUGCUGAUUCAGGACUGAAACGUGGUGAUCAGAUUAUGGAAGUAAAUGGACAAAACUUUGAGAAUAUUACAUUUAUGAAAGCCCUUGAAAUUUUGAGGAAUAAUACUCAUCUUGCACUUACUGUGAAGACCAACAUUUUUGUGUUCAAAGAGUUACUUUUUAGGACUGAACAAGAGAAAUCUGGUGUUCCUCAUAUUCCCAAAAUUGCUGAAAAAAAAAGUAAUCGCCAUUCUAUCCAGCAUGUGCCAGGAGAUAUUGAACAGACAUCACAGGAGAAAGGAAUGAUGGAGGCCUAAGCCAAUCACAAGAUGACAGCAUUGUGGGAACAAGGCACUGUAGGCAUAGUCUGGCUAUAAUGCCCAUCCCUGGAACACUCUCAUCCAGCAGCCCUGAUCUCCUGCAGCCUACCACCAGUAUGUUGGAUUUUUCCAAUCCUUCAGGUAAUUUUCAUAUGUGAUUUUAUAUUGCCAUAUUGGUACCAAAUGAACAAAUAGAUGGUUAAGCCUUGUGCAGCAAGUGCUAGAGUUACUUGCAGCCCUCUUAACUCUAGAUUAUGACUUGAUGCAAAAAACUAAAGAGAGAUUGACUUGUUCUGUUAAUUUGAAUGGUACUUCCUCUAAAGUGAAACCGAAGUACAUAAAAAAGAGACUACCUCUGGCCGGGCGUGGUGGCUUACGCCUAUAAUCCCAGCACUUUGGGGGGCCAAGGUGGGCAGAUCAUGAGGUCAGGAGAUUGAGACCAUCCUGGCUAACACGGUGAAACACCGUGUAUACUAAAAAUACAAAAAAUUAGCCAGGCGUGGUGGUGGGUGCCUGUAGUCCCAGCUACUUGGGAGGCUGAGGCAGGAGAAUGGCGUGAACCCAGGAGGCAGAGCUUGCAGUGAGCCAAGAUCACACCACUGCACUCCAGCCUGGGCGACAGAGCGAGACUCCAUCUC
rnacentral:sRNA from 1 species